ensembl:lncRNA
UUAGAAUCCUUUAUGCAGUUUUUGAAUGCUCAUUUGAUCAUCAUGAUCCUGAGAGAGUCAGGUGUACACCAAAUAUGUGGCAUAUGCUCACAAAGACUGCACCAGAAGGGUAUGCCAGUACAUUUGCAGCAAUGUAUGGCAGAGGGGAAAGAAGACCCCUUAUAAACCAUCUGAUUAAUAAACUUCAAGACUUUGAGUUACAUUUAACCCCUCUACGAGCUUGUGUUUCAUCCAUUACAAAAGUAACUGAAAAGGUGGACAGAAUUGAAAGCAAUCAAGAAGAUAUAAUAGGUGAACUGUCUACUAUGCGUAAUGCUGAUGAAUCCAUGGUGGUAUCAGAUACUUCCGAUGGGAACCAGGAUUCCCAAAACAGCCUACUUGACGGGCUGAUCAAACUGGUUUCCUCACAGCCUGAAUCAUCCAACGUCUCAGCUAUCAAAAGAAGACGUCCACCUGCUCAUGCACGUGACAGCAGUAAGACUAUGUCAUGUUUUGUCUUGUGGUGUUACCUAUGUGACCAUGGAGAAGACAUGAAGAAGUGGCAUAAAAAACCUACUCCUGCACUUCAAGCACGGGUAAAAGAAUUACAAGACAGAUCAACCACCAAGGUGAUCUUCACCAAUUGAAAUCUUUUUGCCUU